rnacentral:rRNA from 1 species
GAUUAGCUAGUUGGUGGAGUAAUAGCCUACCAAGGCAAUGAUCUAUAGCUGAUCUGAGAGGAUGAUCAGCCACACUGGAACUGAGAUACGGUCCAGACUCCUACGGGAGGCAGCAGUGGGGAAUAUUGGACAAUGGGCGAAAGCCUGAUCCAGCCAUGCCGCAUGAGUGAAGAAGGCCUUUGGGUUGUAAAGCUCUUUUAGUGAGGAAGAUAAUGACGGUACUCACAGAAGAAGUCCUGGCUAACUCCGUGCCAGCAGCCGCGGUAAUACGGAGAGGGCUAGCGUUAUUCGGAAUUAUUGGGCGUAAAGGGCGCGUAGGCUGAUUAAUAAGUUAAAAGUGAAAUCCCGAGGCUUAACCUUGGAAUUGCUUUUAAAACUCUUUAUUUAGAGAUUGAAAGAGGAUGGAGGAAUUCUUGACGCAGAGGUCAAAUUUCCCCAUAUUAGGAGGAACACCAGUGGCGAAGGCGUCUAU